UUCAGAUGUUUUCUGUUUCCCCACUGAUCCAAUAUCGUCCGUCGCAUGUUGUGUUUUUUUCCCCAAAAUUUCGUCUGUGAGACAAAAGCAACAAAAAGCAAACGUUUUGUGUAUAUAUUUGUCACUUUUAUUACACAAUACGCCGGUAUAUAAUUCACGUCGAACAGGAAUACAGGAGCAAUAUAACAACAAUUAACAGAGAAGAUAAGUUGCCAAGAAGUCUCAUUAAGCUCAGAUAUGAAUCUGCAAAUUGUAUCGUAUAUAGCGAUAGCAUGGAUAACACUUACUUGCAUGCAGUUGGCCACCACUGACUGCGACAUGACCAACUCGAGCUCGUGUCCAGUAGGCACGUGCUGUGUGCACGACUUAUUGUACUCGAGUACCACGUGCCGCCAUCUGGGUCAGGAUGGUGCUUCGUGUACGAUAAGGCCCACUUCGCUAGAGUGCGCAUGCGCCGACGGUCUAGUCUGCUUGACCAACAUUCAUGGAGGCCACUUCUCUUCCGUUUACGGGAAAUGUGUACGAAAAUACGACGCGCCGAUUGAGGGAUAGUUAAAUGAACAUGAUGUGUUUUAUAUCCCAGUUUGAAGACGAUGUGCCAUAUGGAAUUGUUUGUCUGUAUGUUUGUUGCCGCUCAAAAUGCUUACAUUAUGUUCACAUAUUUUAUGUCGUCGUUGUUUGUUUGUUUUCUGACCAUAUUUGAGCAGCGCCCUGGGGAAACCUGGCUAAAUGCAUGUGCGUAAAAUGUCGUCCCAAAUCAGCCAGUGCAGUCUGCACAGGCUUGACAUGAACGACACUUUCCAACAUGACAAGAUUUUCGAUAAGAUGAAACAUCCUUUAAAUGAAAUAUUCAUUAAAGCGGAAAGUGUCGUCCCAGAUUAAUAUGUGCGGACUUCACAGGCUAAUUCGGACGACACUUUACGAAAAAUGCAUUAAGCCCGGUUUUCCCAUAGCGCAACUCAUUUAUAAUGUCGCAAUAAAGCUUCAGAUCUGUAUUCAUAGCAAACCUGCAAUUUUUGGUGGAGGUGGAAGGAAGGAUUUAUUAUUUUUAUUGGAACUUUUGAGGAAGCUAUCAUUUGAUAUGUUUCGGAAAAGAUGUGCAUACAGUUAGCCAUUAAGAUGCUAGCAUUGUCGAUUUACGUCUUGAUACUGUAAACUUCAGUAUACGUUUACCCUUUCCCACUUAAUGCAAAGUGAAAAUGGCUAUGUGCAUACAGCUGAAUCCAUAACAGCCUGCGAGUAACUCGCAGCCUGUUCAGAUUUUAUGCUGUUUGCUGCUCAUCAGUAUCUAAGGGUUGGAAAUUAAGCCUUUACGAUUGGAAUCUAGUGAGAUAGGUCUUUAAUUAAAUUUAACUUUCUAAAAGACUACAAAUGCGUCAAAAACGUAUCUAAGUGGUAAAGGGUUAAAAUAGCUACUUACACAAACAAUAUUCUGGUCAUAGUUUGAUUUAAAUAAGUCAAAGACCUAUCAGUAUAUUGAUAGGUCUUUGAAUAAGUUCGCUCCAAAUACCGAUUGUUGGUUAUGUAUAUUCCUCUUCAAAAUAAAAAAACUUAAUAACUGAUAACGAUCAAAUUAAGAUAUGCAUCGAGUUUGCCUUUUAAACUCGAAGUAAUAAAUUUCAUUUCGUCACAUAUUCGAUGAUUGCAACAUAAACGAACCUUAACACGGGGCACGUGCGCUAUGUCAUCUGCGUCAUGAUUGGCUGGUUUUAUUGUCACCUGCAUGCGCUCGAUCAGUGGUCUAGAACGCUAGCAGGUGGUGUAGCCAAGCGUCGCGGCCACGCCGAUUUGUUCUAAUUUUAUCCCCGCGCGCGCGAUAACAUAUGCAUCGAUAACAAAGCUCGUCCCGAGAUCAAGGGGUGAAUUUCAUAUUUAAUAUCACAGGGAAAAUUAAAUAAUAGGCCGGUCUUUUUGUUUCCAAAUGGUCAUUUGUUGAGUAUCCGUUUGAAGUCGGAAAAUCAGCGUACGUUUCGCGUACCCACGCGACAGUGGUUAAGGGUGAUGCUAGAUUUAAUGAAGUUUAUUGUUAAUCCACGAACCAGAGCUAAAUAGCGUUUUCAAACGAAUUUGAAUACAUAUAUGCGGAGAGUGAUUUCGAAUGCGACGUCUCUGAAAUGCACAACCUAAGACCAUUACAGCAAUGCUACGUAUAUAUUACAUGCAUUUCAUUGAUAUUGUAUUAUUGUGUUCGUCUAUUAAACUGCCUGCUAUAUAAGUGAAGUUAAACAAUAUUACACAAA